rnacentral:rRNA from 2 species
AGCAGCCGCGGUAAUUCCAGCUCCAAUAGCGUAUAUUAAAGUUGUUGCAGUUAAAAAGCUCGUAGUUGAAUUUCGGGAUCAAAGGAUCGGUCAUGCCUUGGUAUGUACUGGUCUUAUUGGUUCUCACCUUCUAAAGAACCAUAAUGUCAUUCAUUUGAUGUUAUGGGGAAUUAGGACUGUUACCUUGAAAAAAUUAGAGUGUUUAAAGCAGGCUUACGCUUGAAUACAUUAGCAUGGAAUAAUGAAAUAGGACAUCAGAUUCUAUUUUGUUGGUUUCUAGGAUCGAUGUAAUGAUUAAUAGGGAUAGUUGGGGGCAUUAGUAUUCAAUUGUCAGAGGUGAAAUUCUUGGAUUUAUUGAAGACUAACUACUGCGAAAGCAUUUGCCAAGGAUGUUUUCAUUAAUCAAGAACGAAAGUUAGGGGAUCGAAGACGAUCAGAUACCGUCGUAGUCUUAACCAUAAACUAUGCCGACUAGGGAUCGGAUGAUGUUAAUUUUUUAAUGACUCAUUCGGCACCUUACG